AUGGAGGGUGGAGAUUCAUCUGAAAAAUCUGUUAUGAGCAUGUUUGGAAUAUUUAGGCAUGGUGUUUAUCUCAGAAUAUUGGUGCAACUUUGGUGUAGGUUAAUCUUAGCGUUUUUUCUGAUUUUUGAUGGUGCUUUAUUUGGUACAAGGCUUGUAAGUUUUAGGUCCUGGAAGAUGGAAGCGUAUCAAGUACAUAGUGAAGUGCAAAUGAAACUUGCCUUGACUAAGCAAGGAGAACUUGGCUUGACCAUUGAAGUUGGCAAGAAGCAUACGAAACUUGGAUAUUGA